UACGGGGGGAGCAAGCGUUGUUCGGAUUUACUGGGCGUAAAGGGCGCGUAGGCGGCCUCUGCAAGUCGACUGUGAAAUCUCCGGGCUUAACCCGGAAAGGUCAGCCGAUACUGCAGGGCUAGAGUGCAGAAGGGGCAACCGGAAUUCUCGGUGUAGCGGUGAAAUGCGUAGAUAUCGAGAGGAACACCUGCGGCGAAGGCGGGUUGCUGGGCUGACACUGACGCUGAUGCGCGAAAGCUAGGGGAGCGAACGGG
rnacentral:rRNA from 1 species